AUUCUAACUUUGUUGAUCCAGACUUGAGAAUGAUGUUUCAAGCCACACAUGCAUCUGGCCUCUAGGAGUCAUCUGCACGAGCCCACGAAUCACGAUCAGAAGUUCUGGUCCAAAAAAUCAGCACAGUAUGCUAGUACUGCCCUGAUCCUUCUUCGAUGGUCGAUCAGAUGCCUUCUUCUUCUUAAUUAGGACUCUUCCAAAGAUGAGAAGUAUAAGAAGAAGUUUUUGAUCUGAGACACUUUCAGAAACCUCAAGA
rnacentral:lncRNA from 1 species